rnacentral:misc_RNA from 1 species
CGAAUUGCAGCAGCUGUCCGGCCCUACUUGUCCCUUUGAUCGCGUCAGCGCUGGCCUCUUCGGAGAGCUUCCCUGCCGCUCCACGGCGUUCGCAGUCAACGCCCAGUCGUACGGAGGGGGCAUUCGACGGGUACCCGGAGACUUCUCGGAGGGUCGGCCGGGUGGACUGGUACCUGGAGGCGGCUUCGGCGGAGAGGUAGCCGGUGGCUUUCCGGGCGGCUAUCCCGAGCGAGGUCCUGAAAGGUUUCCAGAAGCCGUGUCGGGAAGCUAUCCCGGCAGGAGGCCGGAAAGAUUUCCAGGUCGGGAUGUCUACCCAGGAGGCUUCCCGGGUGGAACUAACCCGACACUUUGCGGAGAUCGCAUCUGCCCCAUUGGAACUCGUUGUGUGGUGCACCAGGCUCGUUGUGUGCGACAGCCGUGCAAGCCUAUCCGAACUUGUGUCUCCUAGGAGAUGCACCAUUAUGCACGUCAAGACUCCAGAAACCUGAUAUCUACAAGCAAUUCUCAAAACAUGUUAAAUAAAAGGAAGUUCUGGCUACGGUUCGACUCGUAAUUACACCUUA